UACGUAGGUGGCAAGCGUUGUCCGGAUUUAUUGGGUUUAAAGGGUGCGUAGGCGGUCCUAUAAGUCAGUGCUGAAAUAUCCCGGCUUAACCGGGAGGGUGGCAUUGAUACUGCAGGACUUGAGUAAAGUUGAGGUUGGCGGAAUUGACGGUGUAGCGGUGAAAUGCUUAGAUAUCGUCAAGAACACCGAUAGUGAAGACAGCUAACUAAGCUUUAACUGACGCUGAGGCACGAAAGUGUGGGGAUCAAACAGG
rnacentral:rRNA from 1 species